UCCCUGGUGACUCAGCUGGUAGAGAAUCUGCCUGCAGUGCAGGAAACCUGGGUUUGAUCCCUGGGUAGGGAA
rnacentral:tRNA from 1 species